UACAGAGGUCCCAAGCGUUGUUCGGAUUCACUGGGCGAAAGGGUGCGUAGGCGGUCGGGUAAGUCUGAUGUGAAAUCUCACAGCUUAACUGUGAAACUGCAUUGGAUACUAUCCGGCUUGAGGAAUGGAGGGGAGACUGGAAUACUUGGUGUAGCAGUGAAAUGCGUAGAUAUCAAGUGGAACACCAGUGGCGAAGGCGAGUCUCUGGACAUUUCCUGACGCUGAGGCACGAAAGCCAGGGGAGCAAACGGG
rnacentral:rRNA from 1 species